rfam:Rhizobium sp. NT-26 chromosome, complete genome.
GCCCAAAGUCGCACGUGCCUGUGGGUGUCCGCCGACCCUCGAACUGGGAUUCAUCCCUAAGGUGAGGUCAUCGGUAAGGUACCUGGAACUAACCCCUCCAGUCGCUAUUCCGGCCAACCGGGAAAUGCGAGGACAUCUUGAAGCAACGACGGUGCGGGCCUUU